rnacentral:rRNA from 1 species
GAUGAACGCUAGCUACAGGCUUAACACAUGCAAGUCGAGGGGCAGCAUGGUCUUAGCUUGCUAAGGCCGAUGGCGACCGGCGCACGGGUGAGUAACACGUAUCCAACCUGCCGUCUACUCUUGGACAGCCUUCUGAAAGGAAGAUUAAUACAAGAUGGCAUCAUGAGUCCACAUGUUCACAUGAUUAAAGGUAUUCCGGUAGACGAUGGGGAUGCGUUCCAUUAGAUAGUAGGCGGGGUAACGGCCCACCUAGUCUUCGAUGGAUAGGGGUUCUGAGAGGAAGGUCCCCCACAUUGGAACUGAGGCACGGUCCAAACUCCUACGGGAGGCAGCAGUGAGGAAUAUUGGUCAAUGGGCGAGAGCCUGAACCAGCCAAGUAGCGUGAAGGAUGACUGCCCUAUGGGUUGUAAACUUCUUUUAUAAAGGAAUAAAGUCGGGUAUGGAUACCCGUUUGCAUGUACUUUAUGAAUAAGGAUCGGCUAACUCCGUGCCAGCAGCCGCGGUAAUACGGAGGAUCCGAGCGUUAUCCGGAUUUAUUGGGUUUAAAGGGAGCGUAGAUGGAUGUUUAAGUCAGUUGUGAAAGUUUGCGGCUCAACCGUAAAAUUGCAGUUGAUACUGGAUAUCUUGAGUGCAGUUGAGGCAGGCGGAAUUCGUGGUGUAGCGGUGAAAUGCUUAGAUAUCACGAAGAACUCCGAUUGCGAAGGCAGCCUGCUAAGCUGCAACUGACAUUGAGGCUCGAAAGUGUGGGUAUCAAACAGGAUUAGAUACCCUGGUAGUCCACACGGUAAACGAUGAAUACUCGCUGUUUGCGAUAUACAGCAAGCGGCCAAGCGAAAGCGUUAAGUAUUCCACCUGGGGAGUACGCCGGCAACGGUGAAACUCAAAGGAAUUGACGGGGGCCCGCACAAGCGGAGGAACAUGUGGUUUAAUUCGAUGAUACGCGAGGAACCUUACCCGGGCUUAAAUUGCAGAUGAAUUACGGUGAAAGCCGUAAGCCGCAAGGCAUCUGUGAAGGUGCUGCAUGGUUGUCGUCAGCUCGUGCCGUGAGGUGUCGGCUUAAGUGCCAUAACGAGCGCAACCCUUGUUGUCAGUUACUAACAGGUUCCGCUGAGGACUCUGACAAGACUGCCAUCGUAAGAUGUGAGGAAGGUGGGGAUGACGUCAAAUCAGCACGGCCCUUACGUCCGGGGCUACACACGUGUUACAAUGGGGGGUACAGAGGGCCGCUACCACGCGAGUGGAUGCCAAUCCCAAAAACCUCUCUCAGUUCGGACUGGAGUCUGCAACCCGACUCCACGAAGCUGGAUUCGCUAGUAAUCGCGCAUCAGCCACGGCGCGGUGAAUACGUUCCCGGGCCU